rnacentral:rRNA from 1 species
AGAAUAGACGUACCCGGGUAGUCCACGCCGUAAACGGUGGGUGCUAGGUGUGGGAGACUAUCUAGGUUUUCCNCGCCNCAGCUAACGCAUUAAGCACCCCGCCUGGGGAGUACGGCCGCAAGGCUAAAACUCAAAGGAAUUAGACAGGGGGCCCGCACAAGCGGCGGAGCAUGCGGCUUAAUUCGAUGCAACGCGAAGAACCUUACCUAGGCUUGACAUAUACGGGAAGCAGGCAGAGAUGGUCUGUGCCUUCGGGCUCGUAUACAGGUGGUGCAUGGCUGUCGUCAGCUCGUGUCGUGAGAUGUUGGGUUAAGUCCGCAACGAGCGCAACCCUCGUCCUAUGUUGCCAGCGGGUAAUGGCCGGGGACUCAUAGGAGACUGCCGGGGUCAACUCGGAGGAAGGUGGGGACGACGUCAAGUCAUCGAUGCCCUUAGUCUAGGGCUGCACGCAUGCUACAAUGGCCGGUACAAAGGGCUGACAAGUACGACGAAGGUUGACGCGUAAUCCGUAAAAGCCGGUAUCCAGGUUCGGAUUCGGGGUCUGACC